rnacentral:rRNA from 1 species
AACGAACGCUGGCGGCAUGCCUAACACAUGCAAGUCGAACGAGACCUUCGGGUCUAGUGGCGCACGGGUGCGUAACGCGUGGGAACCUGCCCUUAGGUUCGGAAUAACUCCUCGAAAGGGGUGCUAAUACCGGAUAAUGUCUUCGGACCAAAGAUUUAUCGCCUUUGGAUGGGCCCGCGUUGGAUUAGCUAGUUGGUAGGGUAAAAGCCUACCAAGGCGACGAUCCAUAGCUGGUCUGAGAGGAUGAUCAGCCACACUGGGACUGAGACACGGCCCAGACUCCUGCGGGAGGCAGCAGUGGGGAAUAUUGGACAAUGGGCGAAAGCCUGAUCCAGCAAUGCCGCGUGAGUGAUGAAGGCCUUAGGGUUGUAAAGCUCUUUUACCCGGGAUGAUAAUGACAGUACCGGGAGAAUAAGCUCCGGCUAACUCCGUG